AUAAAACGAGUGUCACGCGACUCACCUAAUAAGUGAUGUCUUGUUGGCUGUAAACUGGUCCGGCUGAAGCAGAGCUCUGGGACGUGUGGACAGACAUUGACUGUAAUGAUGGACAUCUGCUCAGGGACAGUCUGUGCAAAAGUAUAACCACUGCGGGCCACGGUGC